GAUGAAGAACGUAGCGAAAUGCGAUAAGUAAUGUGAAUUGCAGAAUUCAGUGAAUCAUCGAAUCUUUGAACGCACAUUGCGCCCGCCAGUAUUCUGGCGGGCAUGCCUGUUCGAGCGUCAUUUCAACCAUCAAGCCCCAGGCUUGUGUUGGGGACCUGCGGCUGCCGCAGGCCCUGAAAACCAGUGGCGGGCUCGCUGUCACACCGGGCGUAGUAGAUUUUAUCUCGCUCAGGGCGUGCUGCGGGUUCCGGCCGUUAAAAAGCCUUUUUUACCCAAGGUUGACCUCGGAUCAGGUAGGAAGACCCGCUGAACGUAAGCAUAUCAAUAAGCGGAGGA
rnacentral:misc_RNA from 1 species